rnacentral:rRNA from 1 species
UACGUAGGGUGCAAGCGUUAAUCGGAAUUACUGGGCGUAAAGGGCGCGUAGGCGGCCGCCUAAGUCAGAUGUGAAAGCCCCGGGCUCAACCUGGGAAUUGCAUUUGAGACUGCGUAGCUAGGGUGCGGAAGAGGGAAGCGGAAUUUCCGGUGUAGCGGUGAAAUGCGUAGAUAUCGGAAGGAACACCAGUGGCGAAAGCGGCUUCCUGGUCCAGCACCGACGUUCAGGCACGAAAGCGUGGGGAGCAAACAGG